rnacentral:tRNA from 1 species
GGCUGGAUGGCUCAGUUGGUUGGAGUGUCAUCCCGUACACCAAAUGGUUGUGGGUUUGAUUCCCACUCUGGGCA